rnacentral:rRNA from 1 species
AGACUGCCGGUGACAAACCGGAGGAAGGUGGGGACGACGUCAAGUACAUCAUGGCCGUUACUGUCCUGGGCUACACACGUGCUACAAUGGUCGGUACAAAGGGUUGCCAAGCCGCGAGGUGGAGCUAAUCCCAUAAAACCGAUCGUAGUCCGGAUCGCAGUCUGCAACUCGACUGCGUGAAGUCGGAAUCGCUAGUAAUCGUGAAUCAGAAUGUCACGGUGAAUACGUUCCCGGGCCUU